GGGCACUUAGAUCAGCGGAUGCGUCCAGACGACGCCGUUAAAGAUCGCUGCCUUCGCAAGGCAGAGGCCGGGGGUUCAAAUCCCCCAGUGUCCACCA
rnacentral:tRNA from 1 species